rnacentral:rRNA from 9 species
GGUGAAAACUAAUUGGCCUGAAGAAGAGCUUGCGUCUGAUUAGCUAGUUGGUGGGGUAAGAGCCUACCAAGGCGACGAUCAGUAGCUGGUCUGAGAGGAUGAGCAGCCACACUGGGACUGAGACACGGCCCAGACUCCUACGGGAGGCAGCAGUGGGGAAUUUUCCGCAAUGGGCGAAAGCCUGACGGAGCAACGCCGCGUGAGGGAGGAAGGUCUUUGGAUUGUAAACCUCUUUUCUCAAGGAAGAAGUUCUGACGGUACUUGAGGAAUCAGCCUCGGCUAACUCCGUGCCAGCAGCCGCGGUAAUACGGGGGAGGCAAGCGUUAUCCGGAAUUAUUGGGCGUAAAGCGUCCGCAGGUGGUCAGCCAAGUCUGCCGUCAAAUCAGGUUGCUUAACGACCUAAAGGCGGUGGAAACUGGCAGACUAGAGAGCAGUAGGGGUAGCAGGAAUUCCCAGUGUAGCGGUGAAAUGCGUAGAGAUUGGGAAGAACAUCGGUGG